rnacentral:rRNA from 1 species
AGAGUUUGAUCAUGGCUCAGAGCGAACGCUGGCGGCAGGCCUAACACAUGCAAGUCGAGCGGGCCCUUCGGGGUCAGCGGCAGACGGGUGAGUAACGCGUGGGGAACAUACCCUUUGGUUCGGAACAACUCCGGGAAACUGGAGCUAAUACCGGAUACGCCCUUUUUGGGGAAAGAUUUAUUGCCGAAGGAUCGGCCCGCGUCUGAUUAGCUAGUUGGUGAGGUAACGGCUCACCAAGGCGACGAUCAGUAGCUGGUCUGAGAGGAUGAUCAGCCACACUGGGACUGAGACACGGCCCAGACUCCUACGGGAGGCAGCAGUGGGGAAUAUUGGACAAUGGGCGCAAGCCUGAUCCAGCCAUGCCGCGUGAGUGAUGAAGGCCUUAGGGUUGUAAAGCUCUUUCACCCACGACGAUAAUGACGGUAGUGGGAGAAGAAGCCCCGGCUAACUUCGUGCCAGCAGCCGCGGUAAUACGAAGGGGGCUAGCGUUGCUCGGAAUCACUGGGCGUAAAGGGCGCGUAGGCGGCCGAUCAAGUCAGGGGUGAAAGCCUGUGGCUCAACCACAGAAUUGCCUUUGAUACUGUUCGGCUCGAGACCGGAAGAGGUUGGUGGAACUGCGAGUGUAGAGGUGAAAUUCGUAGAUAUUCGCAAGAACACCAGUGGCGAAGGCGGCCAACUGGUCCGCUGACGCUGAGGCGCGAAAGCGUGGGGAGCAAACAGGAUUAGAUACCCUAGUAGUCC